rnacentral:rRNA from 1 species
CAAUAGCGUAUAUUUAAGUUGUUGCAGUUAAAAAGCUCGUAGUUGGAUUUCGGAUGGGACUUGCCGGUCCGUCGUUUCGAUGUGCACUGGCCAGUCCUAUCUUGUUGUCGGGGACUAGCUCCUGGGCUUCACUGUCCGGGACUAGGAGCUGACGAGGUUACUUUGAGUAAAUUAGAGUGUUCAAAGCAAGCCUACGCUCUGAAUACAUUAGCAUGGAAUAACACGAUAGGACUCUGGCUUAUCUUGUUGGUCUGUGAGACCAGAGUAAUGAUUAAGAGGGACAGUCGGGGGCAUUCGUAUUUCAUUGUCAGAGGUGAAAUUCUUGAAUUUAUGAAAGACGAACUUCUGCGAAAGCAUUUGUCAAGGAUGUUUNCAUUA